rnacentral:lncRNA from 1 species
AAAUACCAAAAGCUGUCCUCAUUGAGUCAUCCCUCCCAGAGCAGGAAGAGCAGAGGUUCUGGGAAACAACCCCAAGGAGAGAGACAGGGCAUUUAUAAAACAGCAUGUAAGCAUCUCUGCAGUUGCUGUCCCCAGAGCCCACUUCCUGGAUAUUGCCAGCUGCCUGGACCAACCUUUCCGAAAGAUCAGCCAGGUCACAGUGAGGGUCAAAGCCCCCUUCCUCAGUCUAUUGCUCCGAAUCCUGGACCACACACUGCGUGCUGAGGCUCCAUCGCUGUGCUGGGUGAGGGGUGGAGGACUGUCCAGCUGACAGCCACCCAGGAGGCCUGCCCAGGAGACCCAGCCCAGCCUCUCCUUGGAACCUGAAGAACUCCAGGCAGCUGAUGGGACACUGGGGCCCAGGAGGCCACUGGAGGCUCCAAGGGCUCUGAAAUGUUGAGAACUUCCCUGCAGGUACCAGCGAAGAGGGCAAGAACACAGCACUACUUCCUUGGAUACUGUUUCCCUCCUCAGAGGGGUUUUCUGAGCUGCCCUGGGUCCUGUGAGGAAGGCAGAAGUCCUAGCAGAGUAUGCCCACGCUGGUUAGUGCUGCUGCAAAGAUGAGCCGAAGACCAUGAGAGACCUCCAGGUGGUCCUUCUGGGGAGAAGAAAUGGGUUUUGGCCCCAAAUCCUUCUGCUGCAUUUUUCCCCUAUCCCUGGGAAGCCAUGAGACCUCAAACCUGUGUUCCCAAGGAGGCGAGCUGCUGUUCCCAGGUGAUGAUAUGAUGUGCUUGGGGAAAGUAAGUGGCUGCCAGACAUGGCUGAGAGCUGUUGUCACUGCCGUCAAGUGCAUGUCUCCAAGCCAUAUCACACGGCGUCCCUCGAUGUGAGGCCACAUGGCAAGUGGGCCGUGGAUCUCCCUCUGCCCUUUGCAAGCACGUAAGACAGCAGAUUUUGCAGAUACCUUGUGGCGCAGGGGAAUUUCCUUUGGCCAGGUCUGAAGAAAUAAAGCAGCAGGCACCGAGAACAAAGCCAAGGCUUUCAAAAGACAAGGAGCCAAAAAACUUACUCAAAAUAAAAGUAGUUUUAAAAUG